rnacentral:rRNA from 1 species
GUGGGGAAUAUUGGACAAUGGGCGAAAGCCUGAUCCAGCCAUGCCGCGUGUGUGAAGAAGGUCUUCGGAUUGUAAAGCACUUUAAGUUGGGAGGAAGGGCAGUAAGUUAAUACCUUGCUGUUUUGACGUUACCGACAGAAUAAGCACCGGCUAACUUCGUGCCAGCAGCCGCGGUAAUACGAAGGGUGCAAGCGUUAAUCGGAAUUACUGGGCGUAAAGCGCGCGUAGGUGGUUUUGUAAGUUGGAGGUGAAAUCCCCGGGCUCAACCUGGGAACUGCCUCCAAAACAGCAUGACUAGAGUACGGUAGAGGGUAGUGGAAUUUCCUGUGUAGCGGUGAAAUGCGUAGAUAUAGGAAGGAACACCAGUGGCGAAGGCGACUACCUGGACUGAUACUGACACUGAGGUGCGAAAGCGUGGGGAGCAAACAGGAUUAGAAACCCUGGUAGUCC